rnacentral:rRNA from 1 species
UACGUAGGGGGGCAAGCGUUGUCCGGAAUUAUUGGGCGUAAAGAGCGUGUAGGCGGCCAGAUAAGUCCGCUGUGAAAUCUCGAGGCUCAACUUCGAGCUGUCGGUGGAAACUAUCUGGCUAGAGUCCGGAAGAGGAGAAUGGAAUUCCUGGUGUAGCGGUGAAAUGCGCAGAUAUCAGGAAGAACACCCGUGGCGAAGGCGGUCUCUGGGACGGUACUGACGCUGAGACGCGAAAGCGUGGGGAGCGAACAGG